CUGUAAAUUUUGGGAUUUUUUGGGGGAUUUUUCUUCCAAUUUUAGUUCCUUUUUUGGGGUCAUUUUAAGGCAAUUUUUCUACAGAAUUUGGGAUUUUUUUGGGAUUUUUCUUUCAAUUUUAGUUCCUUUUUUUGACUCUUUUUUUUUGGCUGAUUUUUCCAUAAAUUUUGGGAUUUUUUUUGGGGAUAAUUUCCUCAAAAAUUCCCAUUUUUUUUUUGCUUUUUUUUCCCCCUUUUCCCCCCUUUUGGAUUCUGGGGAAUUUUUUGGGGGUCCCCAUUGGAUUUUUGGGGGUCACUGGGGGUCUCCUGCCAGCAGCCGGGGUCGGGGGAGGUCCCCAAACAUUUCGGUNNNNNNNNNNNNNNNNNNNNACAUUUCGGUUCCGUCGCCCCCUCCCCGCAGCGCCAGGGCUCUCAUGGAGGCCGCGAUUCGCUCCAGGUCCGGGGGGGCCUGGGGGGACACAAAAUUUGGGGUUUUUUGGGGGGUUCUGAACCCUAAAAUUAUCCUAAAUAAUCCCUAAAAUUGUCCUGAAUAAUCCCCAAAAUUGUCCUGAAUAAUCCCUAAAAUUAUCCUAAAUAAUCCCCAAAAUUAUCCUAAAUAAUCCCCAAAAUUGUCCUGAAUAAUCCCUAAAAUUAUCCUAAAUAAUCCCCAAAAUUAUCCUAAAUAAUCCCCAAAAUUGUCCUGAAUAAUCCCUGAAAUUAUCCUAAAUUAUCCCAAAAAUAUCCUGAAUAAUCCCCCAAAAUUAUCCUAAAUAAUCCCCAAAAUUGUCCUAAAUAAUCUCUAAAAUUAUCCUAAAUUAUCCCAAAAAUAUCCUGAAUAAUCCUCAAAAUAAUUGUAAAUAAUCCCCCAAAAUUAUCCUAAAUAAUCCCCAAAAUUAUCCUAAAUUAUCCCAAAAAUAUCCUGAAUAAUUGCCCAAAAUUAUCCUAAAUAAUUCUAUUUAAAUCCCAAAAUAAUCGUAAAUAAUCCCCAUAAAAACAUCAAAAUUUGGUGUUUUUUGGGGGGUUCUGAACCCUAAAAUUAUCUUAAAAAAAUCCCUAAAAUUAUCCUAAAUUAUCCCAAAAAUAUCCUGAAUAAUCCCCCAAAAUUAUCUUAAAUAAUCCCCAAAAUUUUCCUGAAUAAUCCCCAAAAUUGUCCUGAAUAAUCCCCAAAAUUAUCCUAAAUAAUUCUAUUUAAAUCCCAAAAUAAUCCAAAAUAAUCCCCAUAAUAACAUCAAAAUUUGGGGUUUUUUUGAAGGUUCUGAACCCUAAAAUUAUCCUAAAAAAAACCCUAAAAUUAUCCUAAAUUAUCCCAAAAAUAUCCGGAAUAAUCCCCAAAAUUAUCCUAAAUAAUCCCCAAAAUUGUCCUGAAUUAUCCCAAAAAUAUCCUGAAUAAUCCUCAAAAUAAUUGUAAAUAAUCCCCCAAAAUUAUCCUAAAUUAUCCCAAAAAUAUCCUGAAUAAUCCUCAAAAUAAUUGUAAAUAAUCCCCAAAAUUACCCCAAAUAAUUCCCUUUAAACCCUGAAAUUUGGGGAUUUUUGGGGGGU
rnacentral:lncRNA from 1 species